CUCCCAGGUUUUCUCGGCUUUGUUUUAGUCUUUGCAUCAACUCCCUGUGGAAUUGCUCUUGAAAAGUGUCCAGGUGAUGCACAGCGUGUCCAACAGUACAACAGCUUAGUUAAAACAUAUUUUGAUGUUCAAUUAAUUAUCACUUAAGCAGAGCUGUCAAGAGUCUACAACCAACCCGUUCAAUGUUGUAAGCACUAAACAGAUAAACCAGAGGGAGCACAGCAACAAUUCACUGACUUCCUAGGAAGGCAGGUUUGCCAUAAGGAAAGAUUAAGCAGGGUGGACCAAUACAUUCUAGGGUUCAGAAGAAUGAAAAGUGA